GCUCUGGAGAGAGGACCCCAUGUUGGAGCAGGUUUGCUGGCAGGACCUGUGAACCCACAGGGGGAUCCAUGCUGGAUCAGCCUGCUCCUGAAGGA